AGCGGGCAGCGGGAAGUAGCUUUGCUACUUUGCCGGCGAGCGGCGGACGGGUGAGUAAUGUCUGGGAAACUGCCUGAUGGAGGGGGAUAACUACUGGAAACGGUAGCUAAUACCGCAUGACCUCGCAAGAGCAAAGUGGGGGACCUUCGGGCCUCACGCCAUCGGAUGUGCCCAGAUGGGAUUAGCUAGUAGGUGAGGUAAUGGCUCACCUAGGCGACGAUCCCUAGCUGUCUGAGAGGAUGACCAGCCACACUGGAACUGAGACACGGUCCAGACUCCUACGGGAGGCAGCAGUGGGGAAUAUUGCACAAUGGGCGCAAGCCUGAUGCAGCCAUGCCGCGUGUGUGAAGAAGGCCUUAGGGUUGUAAAGCACUUUCAGCGAGGAGGAAGGGUUCAGUGUUAAUAGCACUGUACAUUGACGUUACUCGCAGAAGAAGCACCGG
rnacentral:rRNA from 1 species